CAUGUCGCCCAUGUACGCGCCCACACACGGCGCUCAUCGAUAUCUCUGAUUAACACGGACCCGACCGAUAUCUCGGUCAAAUAAACCGUGACCUGUUCUACGGAAUGAUAAUUCCCCCCCAAAAAAUUUUUUCUCUCCGGUUGACGUCAGCGUGUGCUUCUGGUGCCUUCUACGUCAGCGGCCGCUCGCUGCUGCUGUAAUGCGGAGUCACCUCGACUCGAUUGUAAACAACCCGACCAGCCUCAUCCCCGACACCGAAUCCGAGGCCAACCCGCCGCGGGGACCACAAUCCGGAUCAAGAUCGUGAUAUAUAGUUCACGUUGUGACCGUCCACACCGUCUGAUCGGUGAACGGUAGUUUGCUGCUGUUGUUAUUGUUGUUGUUGUGGAUCUCUUGUGUGCUGUCAUCUCUGUAGCUAGCCUCCGUAGCUAGCCUCUGUAGCUAGCCCAUUUUGACCAGCCGUAGCUGGCUAGCUCCUAGCCUCCGCGGCUAGCUGCACCGUCGGGCCAUCUGGGGUGCUGAGAUACCCCGCAUGAUCCCUGGAAUCUCUUCCUUCGCCUCGACCAGGAUCUCCUGAACACUGGGUGGGUGGACGGUGCUAACCCCUCCAGCCAUGGAGGCGGGGGAGAAGGAGGAUGAGGAGACCUUGCAGACGGCCUUCAAGAAGCUCCGCGUUGACGCAGAGACAAGUCUGCCCGGCACAGUGAAUGUAUGCGAGGCCUUGGACCCGCGGGCCGUACCGCGGGUCGGUCCCGAGACCAGCGGGGCCAAGCCCAAGCUGGGCUGCCCCAAGGACGCCUGGCACGGCUGCAUGAGGAAGACUUCCCGGGGCGCGUUGCGGUCCCAGCGGCGUCGGCGCUCCAAGUCGCCCAUCCUCCACCCGCCAAAGUUCACCUACUGCAGCUCCUCCCCCUCCUCCCCCCCCGCCUCUCUCCCGCCCCCCGGUGGCUGUCUGAAGCACCAGCGCCUGGCCGGCCCCGAGCCCCGCCCGGCCCCCGGCUCCGCCUCCACGUCCCCGGCUCCGCCUCCGACGGCCCAGACCCAGCCGCCCUCAGCCGCCGUCCCCGCCCAGACCCCCCCGGUGUUCGGAGCCCGCGCCGGGGGUCCGGGCUCCCUGGCCCCCCCCGUCUGCUCCCUGUCCCCCGAGGCCCCGGGGCCCCCGGCCCAGCGGGAGGGGGCGGAGCCCUCUGACUUCCACGCCUUGUCCCAGCUGCUCUCCGGCGGCCCCCCGGGGGCCACGGGCCCCGGCUCGCCCCCCACCCGCUCCCCCUGCUCCUCCUGCUCGGGGGGGGAGGCCCCCGAGGGCGGGGCCGCGGCGGACCCCCGGCCCGGGUGUGGGUGCGCCCCCCUCCCGGCCCCGCCCCCCGCGGGUUGGCCCGGCGUGGAGGUGUACUCCUUCACCGGGCUCCGCGGGGCCAUCUCCGAGUGCGAGAGGGGCCUGGCGCCCCCCAGGACUCCUUCCUCCUCCUCCCCCCCCCCCCCGCUGACGGCGGGCCCGCCGCGCUCCUGCUCGGAGCAGGCGGCGCGCGCCUACGUGGACGACAUCAACAUCGAGGACCUCUCCGGCUACAUGGAGUACUUCCUCUGCAUCCCCAAGAAGAUGUCCCACAUGGCCGAGAUGAUGUACACCUGAACACACACCUACACACAUACACCUGAACACACACCUGUCCUGAACACACACCUGAACACACACACCUGAACACACACCGGAACAUACACACACACAUACACCUGAACACACACUGGAACAUACACACACACAUACACCUGAACACACACACCUGAACACACACACACACCUGAAAAAACCCACACACACCAGAACAUACACACACAUCUGGACUCGCGCACACAACAGCGCCCAUCGCCACGCACCAACGUCUGAUUAAAAAAGAGAUUUACUACAAGAUUUAAAAGAUGAGAUUACGAGAGAAAAGUGGGAGAGCCGGGGGGGGGGGGGGGGGGGGGGGUGGUCGGGGAACACCGCGGGCCGCUGAGCUGUUUGAGGCUUCUAGAAUAUUCAGUUUGAAUGUGGAUAUUGUAAUUAAAUUCUUCCGAUUCCUUCUCACGCCUGACUUCCUGGCGCUCUCUCUUCCCGGUCGAGCGCCCCCUAGUGGACGGGUCUGUCUCGCUCCCUGUGGUUGAGGCCUGCGUGUUUUUGUUUCUGGUUUAAUGGUCAAGUUGCCAAAGAGUUGUGGCAGGCGGCUGCCGGUGCUACGCUGGUCCCAGGCGCCCGGCCUCUCUGGUCCGGGUCGCUGCUAACCUCAACUCUAAAUAAAGAAGAACGUUUUUUGAA